CUCUAGGGUGGAAGGCUGCGGGCGUCCUACCAGUGCCAGGACUGCCAGAGCGGGAGGAGCGCGGCGCGGGCCAGCCGGGACUGCUGGACAGCGGGGUCCAGGCUAGAGGCGAGCGAGCGGUCCACCUCCUAACAAAUUAUUGGAAGGAAUAUGAGAAAAGUGAUCAGUUUGAAAUUCAGCUAACCCAGCAGCUAUGGUCCCUCAUCCCCAAUGAGGAUGUGAGAAGGUUCAUGUCUCAUGUUAUCUGGACCUUGAAAAUGGAAUGUUCAGAAACACAUGUGCAAGGGACCUGUGCCAAGCUCAUGUCACGAACAGGCCUCCUGAUGAAGCUUCUCAGCGAGCAGCAGGAAGCAAAGGCAUCCAAGGCAGAAUGGUCUGUAGACCAAUGGAAAACUGAUGAGACUCCAUCUUAAAAAAAAAAGAAAAAAAAAAUGGCCAGCAGGAUGCAGUGGCUCAUACCUAUAAUCCCAGCACUUUGGGAGGCUGAGGCAGGUGGAUCACCUGAGGUCAGGAGUUCGA
rnacentral:lncRNA from 1 species